rnacentral:rRNA from 1 species
CGGAAUGUGUCAUGUAGCGGUGAAAUGCUUAGAGAUGACACAGAACUCCGAUAGCGAAGGCAGCUCACUAAACUGUUACUGACGCUGAGGCACGAAAGCGUGGGGAUCAAACAGGAUUAGAUACCCUGGUAGUCCACGCUGUAAACGAUGAUUACUCGAUGUGUGCGAUACACAGUACGCGUCUAAGGGAAACCGAUAAGUAAUCCACCUGGGGAGUACGUUCGCAAGAAUGAAACUCAAAGGAAUUGACGGGGGCCCGCACAAGCGGAGGAGCAUGUGGUUUAAUUCGAUGAUACGCGAGGAACCUUACCUAGGCUUAAAUGACAGUUGACGGUUGCGGAAACGUAACUUCUCCACAAGAGCAACUGUUAAGGUGCUGCAUGGCUGUCGUCAGCUCGUGCCGUGAGGUGUUUGGUUAAGUCCAGCAACGAGCGCAACCCCUAUUCUUAGUUGCCAUCAGGUAAAGCUGGGGACUCUAAGAAAACUGCCCGCGCAAGCGGUGAGGAAGGUGGGGAUGACGUCAAGUCAGCACGGCCCUUACGUCUAGGGCUACACACGUGCUACAAUGGCCGGUACAGUGGGCAGCUACAUGGUGACAUGAUGCUAAUCUCCAAAACCGGUCUCAGUUCGGAUCGAAGUCUGCAACUCGACUUCGUGAAGUUGGAUUCGCGUAGUAAUCGUAUAUCAGCAAUGAUCGGUG